ACCAAGGCCCAGAUUUUUUAAGGGAAGACGACCCUUUGCCGUGCGUUAUGACGCACCCGUAACGUGGGGUUUCCUAGAGCUGAGAGCAGGGUUACCGCGCCCAUCGCUGCUGUUUGAGGGCAGUAGGAAGAGUUUGAGAUAUUACUUGUGUGAAUAGGGGAACAACGGUGGGAAAGACAAGGACAGAAGAUUGGAAACAGGUUGUUGUGAGUUAGAAGAUCGUCCCUAGACUCAAACGCAUUGUUGUUCCACAAAGCAGUUGGUAGGGUUAACAUUGCCUCAUCAUUGUGCUGGUGUGUCUCCCCUUGGCGGAUCGAAAGCUGGGUUCGGGGAGUGCCGCUCCUCGAUAGCUUGCUAGCUCUAGUCUGUGUGCUAGUAGGCGGAGAGGAGUCGAUCUUCGCUGUUUCCAGUCAAUGCGAUAUAAACAACGGAUACCCUCGACUGAAAACGGUUACUUACAGGUCAGAACACCACACACCUCCAGUAGAACAUCAGGAGAUGCUUUGCACAAAUCUAUGUCCCCUUCUGUGUCAUUUCAUGAACAAGGAGGGUGAACAGGGAGCACAUCAACAGUUGAAGUCGUAAGUUUACAUGCACUUAGGUUGGAGCUAUUUAAACUCAUUUUUCAACCACUCCACAACCUGUUGAGUGUAGGGGGCAGUAUUUAGAUUUUUGGAUGAAAAAUGUACCCAAAUUUAAUGGCCAAUUUCUCAGGCCCAGAACCUAGAAUAUGCAUAUAAUUGUCAGAUUAGGAUAGAAAACACUCUAAAGGUUCCAAAACGGUCAAUUUGUUUUGGUCUGUGAGUAUAACAGAACUGAUAUUG
ensembl:lncRNA